CUCUUCCAAAAGUUUCGUUCACCCGCAGAGGAAACCUCUGGAGAUCAAAAGGAACACUUUGAGUAGAAACACUGGAUCUGCAUGCAGAAGAUCCCAAUGGCAGCAACAAUCAUCAGAGAUCCAGCCGAGAUCAACACUAUCAGAGACACUGGAGGAGGAGUGUGUGUGUCCGCUGUAAUGACAAACAAAGAAGUGAGCGCGUCAGUGUGAUCUAGAACAGAAGACAGAGAUCAG